UUCAUUUCUAUUGAAAGUGACGGGCGAUAUGUGCGCACUAAGUUCAUUUUUAAAAUUUUAAUUUUUUUUUCAUUUUUCAAUUUUAUUUUUAAAUCCUAUUUCUUUUUUCUUUUUUAUUUAAUUCAUAAAAAAUUACAAAGUAUUCCAUUACUACUUUAAUUUUAUUUUUGUCUUGAUUUAUUUUGUGAUUUUUAUAUUUUAAAAAUAAAAAGUUGAGACUAUAUUUUUUAAACAAUGAUAUAAAAAAUUAUAAGUAAAGUUCAUUUAAUUGUGGGCUGUCUAUUAUAUUACAGAAUCCUCUAAAUAUUUUUAAUGCCGCCAUUUUUAAUAGUUUUUUCUUUAUUUAGAUACUCCCUUUUUUAAUUUUAGAA
rnacentral:rRNA from 1 species